ensembl:snRNA U6 U6 spliceosomal RNA
GUGCUCUCUUCAGCUGCACGUAUACUGAAAUUGGAACGAUGCAGAGAAGAUUCGCCUGGCCCUGUGCAAGGAUGACACGCGCCUUCCUGAAGCGUUCCAUAUUCUU